rnacentral:rRNA from 1 species
UAUUUGAGAGUUUGAUCCUGGCUCAGGAUGAACGCUGGCGGCGUGCCUAACACAUGCAAGUUGAGCGAUUUACUUCGGUAAAGAGCGGCGGACGGGUGAGUAACGCGUGGGUAACCUACCCUGUACACACGGAUAACAUACCGAAAGGUAUGCUAAUACGGGAUAAUAUAUUUGAGAGGCAUCUCUUAAAUAUCAAAGGUGAGCCAGUACAGGAUGGACCCGCGUCUGAUUAGUUAGUUGGUAAGGUAACGGCUUACCAAGGCGACGAUCAGUAGCCGACCUGAGAGGGUGAUCGGCCACAUUGGAACUGAGACACGGUCCAAACUCCUACGGGAGGCAGCAGUGGGGAAUAUUGCACAAUGGGCGAAAGCCUGAUGCAGCAACGCCGCGUGAGUGAUGAAGGCCUUCGGGUCGUAAAACUCUGUCCUCAAGGAAGAUAAUGACGGUACUUGAGGAGGAAGCCCCGGCUAACUACGUGCCAGCAGCCGCGGUAAUACGUAGGGGGCUAGCGUUAUCCGGAUUUACUGGGCGUAA